CGUUAGAAGGGUACCAUGUUUAAUUAAAUAAAUAUAAUAACUAAGUUAUUAAACUUGGUUAAAUGUUUAAGAAAACAAUCAAGGGAAGGAAAUUACUACAUUUGUGAUCAAGUAACAACUAGAGGGGCCAAGGUUGUCAAUAAAGAGGAAAGUUUAUGUUUAAUUAAAAUAAAAAUUAAAACCCCAAAAAAAAUACACACUCAGUGUGUGUGUGUGGGUCGAUGUUCGACCAGGAGAGAAAGGAAAAGGGGUAAAACCCUAGAUCACCAAAAUCCAUCAAAUUGAAGGAGGAUUGAAGGGCUAAUCGAAUGCAUGAACCAGGAAUGUCGAUCAUUUAAGUGUUUCUACCAUCAUGAACGUGUCAAGGAGAGGUCAAGCAUAGGAGGAUAACGGGUCAAGAUAAGGCAAGGUGACAAAUACACUUAUUGGAGUACUCAAGGUAUGGGAUUGUUGGCUUCAUGAAGAAAUGGAGCUGGAUUUGGAUAAGAGUAUUUAAGAAAGCGCUUGGACAAUUCCAUGAUUACUUUAUGGAAUGCUCUACGAAAUUCUAUUAUAUAGGUUAAUGUUGUAUGGUAUGUUAAUGACUAAUGGUUUGGUUGUACGUGGUGUCCACAGGUAUCGCUUGGGUUUUCUCUACAUUUAUUGAAGUCAAGCAGGGCUUAGUUCGAGUUGAGAGCAAGGAUUGUAUGGGGUAGAACGAUCACACAAUGAGAUUUAUAUAAGUCUUGAUGUGUAAAUCUGUUUAAAUGAAUAUAUGGUAUUUCGUAUUUGAACCUUCAUGUGAUUGACAUGUCUAAUAAAGAACGAAAUUUUUGGACUCA